rnacentral:lncRNA from 1 species
UGAUGCUAUAGCAUGCAAAUCUGUGGCCAACACCCUUAUAAAAGAAAUAGGAAAUCGACAGACAUGAUAAUUGAAUCCCAUGAAUUCCUUUUCGAGAAGUGAUGGAGUUGGAUGUUUUUGACAACCCAAGGAAAAAUUAAAAAAAAUAGAGUUCCAAAAUCAUAAGAUUUUGGAGAUAAAAUAAAUAUUAUUCGUUAAAUCUAAGGGUUCAAGAGGAUGAAAUUGUUGAGACCCAAAAAAUCCACAGUUAGGCCCG